rnacentral:rRNA from 1 species
GCAGCAUGGUCUUAGCUUGCUAAGGCUGAUGGCGACCGGCGCACGGGUGAGUAACACGUAUCCAACCUGCCGUCUACUCUUGGCCAGCCUUCUGAAAGGAAGAUUAAUCCAGGAUGGGAUCAUGAGUUCACAUGUCCGCAUGAUUAAAGGUAUUUUCCGGUAGACGAUGGGGAUGCGUUCCAUUAGAUAGUAGGCGGGGUAACGGCCCACCUAGUCAACGAUGGAUAGGGGUUCUGAGAGGAAGGUCCCCCACAUUGGAACUGAGACACGGUCCAAACUCCUACGGGAGGCAGCAGUGAGGAAUAUUGGUCAAUGGGCGAUGGCCUGAACCAGCCAAGUAGCGUGAAGGAUGACUGCCCUAUGGGUUGUAAACUUCUUUUAUAAAGGAAUAAAGUCGGGUAUGCAUACCCGUUUGCAUGUACUUUAUGAAUAAGGAUCGGCUAACUCCGUGCCAGCAGCCGCGGUAAUACGGAGGAUCCGAGCGUUAUCCGGAUUUAUUGGGUUUAAAGGGAGCGUAGAUGGAUGUUUAAGUCAGUUGUGAAAGUUUGCGGCUCAACCGUAAAAUUGCAGUUGAUACUGGAUGUCUUGAGUGCAGUUGAGGCAGGCGGAAUUCGUGGUGUAGCGGUGAAAUGCUUAGAUAUCACGAAGAACUCCGAUUGCGAAGGCAGCCUGC